rnacentral:sRNA from 1 species
ACUUCUCUCCUCAGACUUCAAGGGCUACCACUGGACCCUUCCCCUGUCUUGAACCCUGAGCCGGCACCAUGCGCCAGGCUGGUGAGCUGGAUGAGUCAGUGCUGGAACUGACAAGCCAGAUUCUGGGAGCCAACCCUGAUUUUGCCACCCUCUGGAACUGCCGACGAGAGGUGCUCCAGCAGCUGGAGACUCAGAAGUCUCCUGAAGAGUUGGCUGCUCUGGUGAAGGCAGAACUGGGCUUCCUGGAGAGCUGCCUGCGGGUGAACCCCAAGUCUUAUGGUACCUGGCACCACCGAUGCUGGCUGCUAGGCCGCCUACCUGAGCCCAACUGGACCCGAGAGCUGGAGCUCUGUGCCCGUUUCCUGGAGGUGGAUGAGCGGAACUUUCACUGCUGGGACUAUCGGCGGUUUGUGGCCACACAGGCAGCCGUGCCCCCUGCAGAAGAGCUAGCCUUCACUGACAGCCUCAUCACCCGAAACUUCUCCAACUACUCGUCCUGGCAUUACCGCUCCUGUCUCUUGCCCCAGCUGCACCCCCAGCCGGAUUCUGGACCACAGGGGCGCCUCCCUGAGGAUGUGCUGCUCAAAGAGCUGGAGCUGGUGCAGAAUGCCUUCUUCACUGACCCCAAUGACCAGAGUGCCUGGUUUUAUCACCGUUGGCUCCUAGGCCGAGCUGACCCCCAGGAUGCACUGCGCUGCCUGCAUGUGAGCCGGGAGGAGGCCUGUCUGACUGUCUCCUUCUCUCGGCCCCUCCUAGUGGGCUCCAGGACGGAGAUCUUGCUGCUCAUGGUUGAUGAUUCUCCCCUGAUUGUGGAGUGGAGGACUCCAGAUGGCAGGAACCGGCCCAGCCAUGUCUGGCUCUGUGACCUGCCUGCUGCCUCCCUCAACGACCAGUUGCCCCAACAUACAUUUCGCGUCAUUUGGACAGCAGGCGAUGUCCAGAAAGAAUGCGUGCUUUUAAAAGGCCGCCAGGAGGGCUGGUGCCGGGACUCCACCACGGACGAGCAGCUAUUCAGGUGGUGAUAGGGAAGCACAAAACAAGGAGAGGGGCUCUGGACUCUGGGCAUCAGGCAGCCAGGGCAGGAGGCUGGGGCCUCCAGGAGCUGUUUCAGUCUAGAUACUGGGGAUGUUGACCAGUGCUUCAGGGCUGUGGGCCUCAACACCUCCCCACUCUGCCCACCCUCAGGUGUGAGCUGUCAGUGGAGAAGUCCACAGUGCUGCAGUCUGAGCUGGAAUCCUGUAAGGAGCUGCAGGAGCUGGAGCCUGAGAAUAAAUGGUGCCUGCUUACCAUCAUCCUGCUGAUGCGGGCACUGGACCCCCUGCUGUAUGA